CCUACGGGUGACAGCAGUGGGGAAUAUUGCACAAUGGGGGAAACCCUGAUGCAGCGACGCCGCGUGAGUGAAGAAGUAUUUCGGUAUGUAAAGCUCUAUCAGCAGGGAAGAAGAAAGACGGUUUCUGACCAAGAAGCCCUGGCUAACUACGGGCCAGCAGCCGCGGCAAUACGUCGGGGGCCAGCGGUAUCCGGAAUUACUGGGUGUACAGGGAGCGUAGACGGGUGUGCAAGUCCGAAGGGAAAGCCCAGGGCUCAACCCUGGGACUGCUUUGGAAACUGUGGAGCUAGAGUGCUGGAGAGGUAAGUGGAAGUCCUAGUGUAGCGGUGAAAUGCGUAGAUAUUAGGAGGAACACCAGUGGCGAAGGCGGCUUACUGGACAGUAACGGACGUUGAGGCUCGAAAGCGGGGGGAGCAAACAGGAUUAGAUACCCGAGUAGUC
rnacentral:rRNA from 1 species